AAGAAAAAACAUGAUUUCUUGAUUUCAAAAGAACUCCUUACGAGGCAUAUAAUAAACUUGAUAAGCUUUACAAAGAUAAUUUGGUAUUUGAUAUGAAAUAUUUUUAAUUGAUAUAAAAUACUUUACUUAAUUUAGUUUUAUAUUUGUGAUCAUGUGUAUGGAUUAAAGAUAUGAAAUAUUUGUUUUUAGAUAUCUUGAAUUAUACACUCGAGUUGUCAAAAAAGCACACUGGCAUAUAAUAUUUUUUUUUUUUUACAUCAAAAGGCUAUUCUAUC
rnacentral:lncRNA from 1 species